rnacentral:rRNA from 1 species
UACAGAGGUCUCAACCGUUGUUCGGAUUCAUUGGGCGUAAAGGGUGCGUAGGCGGUCGGGUGAGUCGGAUGUGAAAUCUCAGGGCUCAACCCUGAAACUGCAUUCGAUACUGCUUGGCUAGGGUACUGGAGAGGAGACUGGAAUUUACGGUGUAGCAGUGAAAUGCGUAGAUAUCGUAAGGAAGACCAGUGGCGAAGGCGAGUCUCUGGACAGUUACCGACGCUGAGGCACGAAGGCCAGGGGAG